GGGAAUUUUCCGCAAUGGGCGAAAGCCUGACGGAGCGACGCCGCGUGCAGGAUGAAGGCCUUCGGGUUGUAAACUGCUUUUCUUAAGGACGAACAAAUGACGGUACUUAAGGAAUAAGGGGCUGCUAAAUUCGUGCCAGCAGCAGCGGUAAUACGAAUGCCCCAAGCGUUAUCCGGAUUUAUUGGGCGUAAAGGGUCCGCAGGCGGUCUUAUAAGUCAUAUGUUAAAUCUUCGGGCUCAACCCGAAAACUGCGUGUGAUACUGUAAGACUAGAGGACGGGAGAGGUACACGGAAUUGCUGGUGUAGGGGUAAAAUGCGUUAAUAUCGGCAAGAACACCAAAGGCGAAGGCAGUGUACUGGUACAGUUCUGACGCUCAGGGACGAAAGCGUGGGUAGCGAAAGGGAUUAGAUACCCCUGUAGUCA
rnacentral:rRNA from 1 species